rnacentral:lncRNA from 1 species
GAUACCUCAGCGCUACCUGGCGGAACUGGAUUUCUCUCCCGCCUGCCGGCCUGCCUGCCACAGCCGGACUCCGCCACUCCGGUAGGAUUCCCCGCCUGUCAUUCCCUAGCCCAGCUCUUGGGAAACUGCAGAGGGGUCCAGAGGAUUUGCAGUUCUGAACCUGCACACUCCAGUCUAGGAUCUCCGAGCAAGAGCGUAGGUGUCCUGAGGGUCAAAGAACAGAGAGAGAUUGUCUCUGGGAAGGCAGAAUGGCCAUGACGCCGCUAGUCUGGCUCCAGGGCCCCAGAGAUCUGAGGAGGGAAGCCCAGCUGGAGGCUCCUGUGGUCCUGCCCUGGUCUGAGAUCUUGGAGCCCUUCUUGAAGAGACGGUGUCCGCAGAGUUGCUGAUCUUCCUGCCCCUGGGGGCUACUCUUGCCCAGGGUUGGGCAAAGCAGAGUAGCUGGGAGUGUAAGGAGAGGACCCUCGUCCCCUCACCAACCUCAUCCUCUCUCCCCCUACCCACAGGUAGCCUCAUGGCUGCAACCUGUGAGAUUAGCAACAUUUUUAGCAACUACUUCAGUGCGAUGUACAGCUCGGAGGACUCCACCCUGGCCUCUGUUCCCCCUGCUGCCACCUUUGGGGCCGAUGACUUGGUACUGACCCUGAGCAACCCCCAGAUGUCAUUGGAGGGUACAGGUGGGUCUCAGCGGGGUGGGAUGGGGCACGGAGUGGGAGACAGAUCCAUCUAAGGGCCUGUUAGACAAAUGGGGGAAUAGGCAGGGAGGAGGGUCUCUAGGCAAAUUCCAGGGCUAGAGGCUGAGACUUAGUGACUGAGGUGCUGGGGGUUGUGGGGCUGUGACAGGCAGAGGGAGGUGUCAGAUACCAGGACAAGGGUGUUGUGAAUGCUACCUCCUGCCCCUACUCUUGGGAUGGCUCCAAGGGCUGAGGUGUGAAUCCCCAGUGUGCUCCAGGAAUGGGGCUGUGUGAGCCACCGUGCCCAGCUCCCUGGCCUUAAAAGUCAUGUAAUUUAAUGAUCAGACCCCAGUCACAGCCAUAGGAUACAAAGAAGCAAAGGCAAAGAGCCCUGUGUCCUGGGCACGGUUACAGGCCAGUGUAGGGAAAGAGCUUCUGCUUGCCAGUGUGAAGAACAGAGGAGUUUAGGAAGUGUGAGUCAGGCUCAGCUUAGUCAGGCAGAGACCAGUGGGCAUGGGUUACCUGGGGGUAACGCGGGCCAGGUGGGCGGGCUGGCAGCCUGGGGCCCAUUUCCUGCCAAAGCACCUCUGACCAUCCUUCUCUUCACCCAGGUACUACUACAAACGGGAGAUCCUGGAACGGGUGGAUGGCCGGCGACUCGUCUACAAGUUUGGCAAAAACUCAAGCGGCUGGAAGGAGGAAGAGGUUCUCCAGAGUCGGAACUGAGGGUUGGAACUAUACCCGGGACCAAACUCACGGACCACUCGAGGCCUGCAAACCUUCCUGGGAGGACAGGCAGGCCAGAUGGCCCCUCCACUGGGGAAUGCUCCCAGCUGUGCUGUGGAGAGAAGCUGAUGUUUUGGUGUAUUGUCAGCCAUCGUCCUGGGACUCGGAGACUAUGGCCUCGCCUCCCCACCCUCCUCUUGGAAUUACAAGCCCUGGGGUUUGAAGCUGACUUUAUAGCUGCAAGUGUAUCUCCUUUUAUCUGGUGCCUCCUCAAACCCAGUCUCAGACACUAAAUGCAGACAACACCUUCCUCCUGCAGACACCUGGACUGAGCCAAGGAGGCCUGGGGAGGCCCUAGGGGAGCACCGUGAUGGAGAGGACAGAGCAGGGGCUCCAGCACCUUCUUUCUGGACUGGCGUUCACCUCCCUGCUCAGUGCUUGGGCUCCACGGGCAGGGGUCAGAGCACUCCCUAAUUUAUGUGCUAUAUAAAUAUGUCAGAUGUACAUAGAGAUCUAUUUUUUCUAAAACAUUCCCCUCCCCACUCCUCUCCCACAGAGUGCUGGACUGUUCCAGGCCCUCCAGUGGGCUGAUGCUGGGACCCUUAGGAUGGGGCUCCCAGCUCCUUUCUCCUGUGAAUGGAGGCAGAGACCUCCAAUAAAGUGCCUUCUGGGCUUUUUC